UACGUAGGGUGCGAGCGUUAAUCGGAAUUACUGGGCGUAAAGCGUGCGCAGGCGGUUGUGUAAGACAGGCGUGAAAUCCCCGGGCUCAACCUGGGAAUGGCGCUUGUGACUGCACGGCUGGAGUGCGGCAGAGGGGGAUGGAAUUCCGCGUGUAGCAGUGAAAUGCGUAGAUAUGCGGAGGAACACCGAUGGCGAAGGCAAUCCCCUGGGCCUGCACUGACGCUCAUGCACGAAAGCGUGGGGAGCAAACAGG
rnacentral:rRNA from 1 species